CAUAUCAAUAAGCGGAGGGAAAAGAAACUAACAAGGAUUUCCCCUAGUAACUGCGAGUGAAGCGGGAAAAGCUCAAAUUUAAAAUCUGGCGGUCUUUGGCCGUCCGAGUUGUAAUCUAGAGAAGUGCUAUCCGCGCUGGACCGUGUACAAGUCUCCUGGAAUGGAGCGUCAUAGAGGGUGAGAAUCCCGUCUUUGACACGGACUGCCAGGGCUUUGUGAUGUGCUCUCAAAGAGUCGAGUUGUUUGGGAAUGCAGCUCAAAAUGGGUGGUAAAUUCCAUCUAAAGCUAAAUAUUGGCGAGAGACCGAUAGCGAACAAGUACCGUGAGGGAAAGAUGAAAAGAACUUUGGAAAGAGAGUUAAACAGUACGUGAAAUUGCUGAAAGGGAAACGCUUGAAGUCAGUCGCGUUGUCCAGGGAUCAUCCUUGCUUUUGCUUGGUGCACUUUCUGGUUGAUGGGUCAGCAUCAAUUUUGACCAUUGGAAAAAGAUUAGGGGAAUGUGGCAUCUUUGGAUGUGUUAUAGCCCUUUGUUGCAUACAAUGGUUGGGAUUGAGGAACUCAGCACGCCGCAAGGCCGGGUUUUUAACCACGUACGUGCUUAGGAUGCUGGCAUAAUGGCUUUAAUCGACCCGUCUUGAAACACGGACCAAGGAGUCUAACAUGCCUGCGAGUGUUUGGGUGGAAAACCCGAGCGCGUAAUGAAAGUGAAAGUUGAGAUCCCUGUCGUGGGGAGCAUCGACGCCCGGACCAGACCUUUUGUGACGGUUCCGCGGUAGAGCAUGUAUGUUGGGACCCGAAAGAUGGUGAACUAUGCCUGAAUAGGGUGAAGCCAGAGGAAACUCUGGUGGAGGCUCGUAGCGAUUCUGACGUGCAAAUCGAUCGUCAAAUUUGGGUAUAGGGGCGAAAAGACUAAUCGAACCAUCUAGUAGCUGG
rnacentral:rRNA from 1 species